GAGAUGUUUCUGUAAUUCUGUCACUCCUAAGCUAAAGCACACACUUUUUCCUUAUUUCCUCUCUUAAGGGCAACUAUCAGCUCGAUGCUGUGGCCAUUACCCUGGGACCUGCAGGCAGCCAGCACCCAGUUUGACCAGCAGACAGACCAGAAGGGCUGACAGGGAUCUCAUUGCUGGGAAGCCAAUAACAGAGAAGUGACAGGGUUGGGUGCCCAUGUCCUUAGAGCAUUUUUGGAGUCUGAUUCUUCCCUAACAGAAGAUUCAGUGUGGAUUUGCAGGUUAUCCUGCUGCUCAGCAGAGAUGCCAUUGCUUCUCAUGUGUGUGCAAAACUUGGCUCACACUAGAGAAUCACCCACUGGGUGAAGAAGCUGAAGAACAAGAAUCUGUGUGCUGCUUAUGUGAAGACAGCAAGCAAGCCUGCAAGAGGCAUGGCACAUCCAUUCAGACAGAGCCUAUCUUGGCAUCUCUUCUGUUCAUUCUUGUACCAAAAAAAAAAAAAAAAA
ensembl:lncRNA